UUUCCGUAGGUGAACCUGCGGAAGGAUCAUUAUCGAAAAACAUCCUCCUGUGCUGUGCGUCUCCCGCACGCUCGGAGUUGUUAUUUCCACACACCAGUGCACCUUCGGGCUGCCUCCCCUCGCGGGGUCGGCGCUCGCCUUUUCCAUUAACCCAAUGUAUCUGAAUGUCUCUGUAUAUCUAAUACAAUACAACUUUCAACAACGGAUCUCUUGGCUCUCGCAUCGAUGAAGAACGCAGCGAAAUGCGAUAAGUAAUGUGAAUUGCAGAAUUCAGUGAAUCAUCGAAUCUUUGAACGCACCUUGCGCUCCUUGGCAUUCCAAGGAGCAUGCCUGUUUGAGUGUCACGUGAAUAUCUCACUCCUCUUAGGGGGAGUGGACUUGGACCGUGCCGUCGACCGGGUCGACGGCUCGUCUCGAAAUGCAUUAGCCUGCAGAGUUUCGCUUGGCCGCUGGUGUGAUAAUUGUCUACGCCGUUGCGCCGGGCGAGCCGCUCUGGGCUCACAAUGACCUAUUCUUUAACGCUCUGGCCUCAAAUCAGGUAGGACUACCCGCUGAACUUAAGCAUAUCAAUAAGCGGAGGAAAAGAAACUAACAAGGAUUCCCCUAGUAACGGCGAGUGAAGCGGGAAAAGCUCAAAUUUGAAAUCUGGCGGUCUCAGGCCGUCCGAGUUGUAGUCUAGAGAGGCGUCUUCCGUGCCGGACCGUGUACAAGUCCCUUGGGAUAGGGCGUCAUAGAGGGUGAGAAUCCCGUCCAUGACACGGACUGCCGGUGCUCUGUGAUGCGCCUUCAAAGAGUCGAGUUGUUUGGGAAUGCAGCUCAAAAUGGGUGGUAAAUUCCAUCUAAAGCUAAAUACAGGCGAGAGACCGAUAGCGAACAAGUACCGUGAGGGAAAGAUGAAAAGCACUUUGGAAAGAGAGUUAAACAGUACGUGAAAUUGUUGAAAGGGAAACGCUUGGAGUCAGUCGCGUCCGUCGAGACUCAGCCGGGCUGCUGCCCGGCGCACUUCUCGGUGGAUGGGCCAGCAUCGAUUUCGGCUGCCGGAAAAGGGCGAGGGGAAGGUGGCACCUCCGGGUGUGUUAUAGCCCCUCGUCGUAUACGGUGGCUGGGAUCGAGGUUCGCAGCACGCCUUUAUGGUCGGGGUUCGCCCACGCCACGUGCUUAGGAUGCUGGCGUAAUGGCUUUAAACGACCCGUCUUGAAACACGGACCAAGGAGUCUAACAUGCCUGCGAGUGUUUGGGUGGAAAACCCAGGCGCGGAAUGAAAGUGAAAGGUUGGGACUCCCCUAAACAAGGAGGCACCGACGCCCGAUCCUGACCUUCUGUGACGGAUUUGAGGCAGAGCAUGUAUGUUGGGACCCGAAAGAUGGUGAACUAUGCCUGAAUAGGGCGAAGCCAGAGGAAACUCUGGUGGAGGCUCGUAGCGAUUCUGACGUGCAAAUCGAUCGUCAAAUUUGGGUAUAGGGGCGAAAGACUAAUCGAACCAUCUAGUAGCUGGUUCCUGCCGAAGUUUCCCUCAGGAUAGCAGAAGCUCACAUCAGUUUUAUGUGGUAAAGCGAAUGAUUAGAGGCCUUGUGGGUUGAAACAACCUUAACCUAUUCUCAAACUUUAAAUAUGUAAGAUCGGGCCGUCUCUUGAUUGGACCGCCUGGCGAAUGAGAGUUUCUAGUGGGCCAUUUUUGGUAAGCAGAACUGGCGAUGCGGGAUGAACCCGAUCGCGAGGUUAAGGUGCCGGAAUGCACGCUCAUCAGACACCACAAAAGGUGUUAGUUCAUCUAGACAGCAAGACGGUGGCCAUGGAAGUCGGACCCCGCUAAAGAGUGUGUAACAACUCACCUGCCGAAUGACUACCCCUGAAAAUGGAUGGCGCUCAAGCGUGCUACCCAUACCUCGCCGUCGGCGUUGAAAUCACCGCC
rnacentral:rRNA from 1 species